rnacentral:lncRNA from 1 species
UGACAAUAGAGGAAUGUACACAAUCUGUUUUUAAAAUGAAACUUAAUAAAAAACCAGGUAUCGAUGGUCUCUCAAUUGAAUUUUAUAGAGCUUUCUGGUCCAACUUACAAAACUUUGCUGUAGAUGUUUUUAAUAAUUGCUAUGAAAAAAAAGAAUUGACAAAUUCUCAGAAACUAGGAUUAAUUACCCUUAUAUACAAGAAAAACGACCCAUUAAAUUUAGAUAAUUAUAGACCAAUUACCUUACUAAAUGUAGAUACCAAAAUUAUAGCAUACUCUCUUGCACAAAGACUGAAACCAA